rnacentral:rRNA from 1 species
UACGUAGGGGGCUAGCGUUGUCCGGAUUUAUUGGGCGUAAAGAGCUCGUAGGCGGUCCGUUGCGUCCGCUGUGAAAACUCGGGGCUUAACCCCGAGCCUGCAGUGGAUACGGGCAGACUAGAGGUAGGUAGGGGAGAAUGGAAUUCCCGGUGUAGCGGUGAAAUGCGCAGAUAUCGGGAGGAACACCGGUGGCGAAGGCGGCAUCCUAGACCAACACUGACGCUGAGGAGCGAAAGCCAGGGGAGCAAACGGG